AUGGCAGAAUGCUUCAAUAAGGUGCUCAAGGGUGUACGUGCAUUACCCGUGACGGCAAUAGUUCAAUACACAUUUGACAAGUUGAAUGAAUACUUUUUAAAGCACUCAAUGGAGACUGAUAAGCAGAUUGCUGGUGAGAACAAGGAUAAGCACAAGUAUAAUUUCCCACCAAAGGUUGAAGAAUGGUUGGAAUUUCAAUCACGAAAGGCAGACUCCGAAGAAGCUGUACUAUAUGACGACAACGAGUGGAAGUAUGAGGUGAAAGAGCCCGGAGGAACCACAAACGAUGGCCGCCAACACGGAGGCCGGGCUUUCAAGGUCUCCCUAACACGGUGUGAUUGCACCUGCAUGAGGCCGUCUUUGCUUCAUCUCCCAUGCUCGCACUUGUUAAAUGCAUCCCGGGUUAGGAAUGUGGACGUCAAUCACCCUCUUACCGUGAGGGAGUCCGAGUUCUCAAUCAUGACGGUAAAGAAUACAUGGACUCCACGGUUCCAGCCAUACUUGGACCAAUCACAAUGGCUGGAGUAUCAUGGAGUUCAACUAUGGCCGGACCCG
rnacentral:rRNA from 1 species